rnacentral:rRNA from 1 species
GCAAAAGAGUGGGAAGAUCUUUGAGUAGAGGUGACAGACCUACCGAGCUCAGUUAUAGCUGGUUGCCUACAAAACGAAUAGAAGUUCAGCCUUUAUCCUUCUUCCCUCAACACUGCAUAUACUCGUAGUGACACAAAGAAGCUUAAAGAGUUAUUCAAGGGGGGAACAGCCCCCUUGAAGAAAGAUACAACUUUAUUAGCUGGCUAAAGAUUAAAAGACCUCAGGCAAAAUACCUUGGUGGGCCUAAAAGCAGCCAUCCAUGCAGAAAGCGUUAAAGCUCAAGUACUUCGCCCCUCCCUAAUACCAACAAUAAUAUCUUAAGCCCCUUUAUUUAUAGUAGGCCUUUUCAUGCAACCAUGAAAGAGAUACUGCUGAGAUGAGUAAUAAGAGGACAGCUCCUCUCCCCAACACCUGCAUACCUCAGAACGAACCCCCACUGAAAAUUAACGCCCCCAACCAGAAGAGGGGCCUGGGAAAGCCCAAAAUAAACUAGAAGCUCCCCCAAGACUUAGCGUUAACCCCACACAGGUGUGUUUAAGGAAAGACUAAAAGAAAAAGAAGGAACUCGGCAAACACUGGCCUCGCCUGUUUACCAAAAACAUCGCCUCUUGCAACAAGCGUAUAAGAGGUCCCGCCUGCCCUGUGACUAACUAGUUUAACGGCCGCGGUAUUUUGACCGUGCGAAGGUAGCGUAAUCACUUGUCUUUUAAAUGGAGACCUGUAUGAAUGGCACAACGAGGGCUAAGCUGUCUCCUUUUUCCAGUCAAUGAAAUUGAUCUUCCCGUGCAGAAGCGGGAAUAUAAACAUAAGACGAGAAGACCCUAUGGAGCUUAAGACACAAGGUAGACCGUGUAAAAUACCUGCCUAAACAGAAUUAACCAAACGGUUCCUACCCCCUUGUCUUUGGUUGGGGCGACCACGGGGAAACAAGUAUCCCCCGCGUGGAACGGGGCCCUCACCCCUAAAGCCAGAGCCACAGCUCUAGCUAGCAGAAUAUCUGACCUACAAGAUCCGGCAAAGCCGAUCAACGGACCGAGUUACCCUAGGGAUAACAGCGCAAUCCCCUUUUAGAGCCCAUAUCGACAAGGGGGUUUACGACCUCGAUGUUGGAUCAGGACAUCCUAAUUGGUGCAGCCGCUA